GAUGAACGCUAGCGGCAGGCUUAACACAUGCAAGUCGAGGGGUAGAGGCUUUCGGGCCUUGAGACCGGCGCACGGGUGCGUAACGCGUAUGCAAUCUACCUUUUACAGAGGGAUAGCCCAGAGAAAUUUGGAUUAAUACCUCAUAGUAUUUUCGAAUGGCAUCAUUUGAUUAUUAAAGUUCCAACGGUAAAAGAUGGGCAUGCGUCCUAUUAGCUAGAUGGUAAGGUAACGGCUUACCAUGGCAACGAUAGGUAGGGGUCCUGAGAGGGAGAUCCCCCACACUGGUACUGAGACACGGACCAGACUCCUACGGGAGGCAGCAGUGAGGAAUAUUGGACAAUGGGCGCAAGCCUGAUCCAGCCACGCCGCGUGCAGGAAGACGCAUCUAUGGUGUGUAAACUGCUUUUGUACGGGAAGAAACACUCCCUCGUGAGGGAGCUUGACGGUACCGUAAGAAUAAGGAUCGGCUAACUCCGUGCCAGCCGCCGCAGUAAUAC
rnacentral:rRNA from 1 species